UACGGAGGGUGCGAGCGUUGUCCGGAAUCACUGGGCGUAAAGGGUGCGUAGGCGGCUGGUGAAGGCUUGUGUGAAAGUCCGGGGCUCAACCCCGGAUCGGCACGGGCGACUCGCUGGCUGGAGCCCACUAGAGGCGGGUGGAAUUCCGGGUGUAGCGGUGGAAUGCGUAGAGAUCCGGAAGAACACCGGUGGCGAAGGCGGCCCGCUGGGGUGGAGCUGGACGGCUGAGGCGGCGACAGCGGUGGGGAGCAAACAGG
rnacentral:rRNA from 1 species